GAUUUAGUUCCUUUUCACGCUUCCCUUUGAUAAGCAUUCAGGUCUUUAAACCUUACAUCAAAGUUUAGUCGCCAUUUUGAAAUGCAAACACCAGAUCUGGACACAGGAUUCCAGCAAGUUGCUUUAUCAAUGCUACGUACACAAGAAGGAUCAUUUCCCUAGUUCUAUUUGUCACUCCUCUUCUUCAUACUCCUAUACCUAAGGAUCCUAUAUUCAAGGAUCACAUUAGCCAUUUUGACAACAGCGCACCAAGAAUUUAUGUUGAGACUGUUAUGUAAGACCACCCCUUCCCAAAACAGGCUUCGAUCUCACAAGUAUCAAUUGCAUUCCUCAACACUUGCAGCUGCGUUAAAACACAAUACUUUUGGACUGUAACCAUUUAGUCCAGCUAUUCCAGCAAUUCUUACCAGUAGUUUGACCACUUUGUUACAGGAUCAUAGAAUAAUUUAUGUUGGAAAGGACUUGAAGAACAUCUAGUCUGACCUCCCGCUCAAAGCAGGGCUGACUUCACAGCUAGAGCAGGUUGCCCAUGUCUUUGCCCCAUCAGGUCUGAAAAUCUCAAAGGAUGGAGAUUCUACAGCCUCUCUGGACAACCUGUCCCAAGGUUUACCCACUUUUAUUGUGAUUUAUUUUUAUAUCAUAUCUUCCUUACUAUUUCUCUGAUGCAUUAUCUAAAAACAGCUACCAAAGCCUCUAUGUCCACAUUUUAUAUCUUUGAUUAAAAUAGCAAAUAGCCAGAAUGAAUCUCCAGGCGAUCUGUUAGAAAUAGCUUUGUACACUGGCACCUGACCACUGCCUACAUUUUGAAGAUCUGCCAAUAAACCAGAUUCCAGUGCAUAUAAUAGAUACUCUGUUAAUUCAGUAUAGUUUCACCCAUUCAGUAAACAUCACGUGAUAUUAAAUUAAAAGCUUCAAUAUAGCCCAAGGAAUCAGCAAGAGGACUGAAGAUCAUAACAGUUGUUUCCAUCUAGAAAGAUCCACCUUCCAAGAAGGUCCCAGGGGAUAUGGGGAACAGAGUACUGCCUUCCUCUUUGGACUACGAUUCCACCCAGUUUAAAUGCUUCUUGGGCAAACAAAAAUGCAGGUAGCAGACCAGGCAAUGGUCUAACAGGAUCUAAUUCUUCACUCAGUCAUUUCUGUACACCGUUGUCCACCCUGGGGAAGGCAGCAGCAACUCUGUGGCGCUCUGCCGUGCUCACAAACACCCCCUUUUCCAGCGAGGCAGGAGACGACAUUCGCUGCCACUCCCUGGGGAGGCCAGGAGCACACGACCAGACGGCUGCCAGCAAGUCCCGCUGCGCUCACUGUACGAAACGCCACCUUCACCGACAGCCUCCGUCAAGCACAUCGCAACUCAUCGGCGUGCGCUGAGCGCGACGCGCCUGCGGCCACCUCUCUCUGCCAGUGUGAGGACUCAACCCCACGCGACGGAGACGCACGUCGACGCGUCUUAUCAGAGGACUUUCAUUUCCUGAGGGUGGCCCAGCUG
rnacentral:lncRNA from 1 species